rnacentral:rRNA from 1 species
CCUACGGGUGGCUGCAGUGGGGAAUAUUGCACAAUGGGCGCAAGCCUGAUGCAGCCAUGCCGCGUGUGUGAAGAAGGCCUUCGGGUUGUAAAGCACUUUCAGCGGGGAGGAAGGCGGUGAGGUUAAUAACCUCAUCGAUUGACGUUACCCGCAGAAGAAGCACCGGCUAACUCCGUGCCAGCAGCCGCGGUAAUACGGAGGGUGCAAGCGUUAAUCGGAAUUACUGGGCGUAAAGCGCACGCAGGCGGUCUGUCAAGUCGGAUGUGAAAUCCCCGGGCUCGACCUGGGAACUGCAUUCGAAACUGGCAGGCUAGAGUCUUGUAGAGGGGGGUAGAGUUCCAGGUGUAGCGGUGAAAUGCGUAGAGAUCUGGAGGAAUACCGGUGGCGAAGGCGGCCCCCUGGACAAAGACUGACGCUCAGGUGCGAAAGCGUGGGGAGCAAACAGGAUUAGAUACCCUAGUAGUC